rnacentral:ncRNA from 3 species
ACCACAGCCAAGGGAACG